UACGUAGGGUGCAAGCGUUGUCCGGAAUUAUUGGGCGUAAAGGCGCGUAGGCGGCCUGACAAGUGGAUGGUGAAAUCCCUCGGCUUAACCGAGGAACUGCCAUCCAGACUGUUUGGCUUGAGACCGGGAGAGGUGAGUGGAAUUCCCAGUGUAGCGGUGAAAUGCGUAGAUAUUGGGAGGAACACCAGUGGCGAAGGCGGCUCACUGGACCGGUACUGACGCUGAUGCGCGAAAGCGUGGGGAGCAAACGGG
rnacentral:rRNA from 1 species